rnacentral:rRNA from 1 species
UACAGAGGUCUCAAGCGUUGUUCGGAUUCAUUGGGCGUAAAGGGCGCGUAGGCGGCGGGGUAAGUCGGGGGUGAAAUCUCAGAGCUCAACUCUGAAACUGCACUCGAUACUGCUCUGCUUGAGGACUGGAGAGGAGACUGGAAUUCACGGUGUAGCAGUGAAAUGCGUAGAUAUCGGGAGGAAGACCAGUGGCGAAGGCGGGUCUCUGGACAGUUCCUGACGCUGAGGCGCGAAGGCCAGGGGAGCAAACGGG